UCUGUACACUUUGGGUUCUAAUUCUUAGAGCCGCUCUAAAUAACUGGAUAUCAACCUUUGCCUAGUGUUGGUACACUACUAAUUUUAGAAGUUGUUCUCUAAACAGGUUAAGAUGCAAUUUCUAUUGAAGGUGAAGUUUCAUCACAAGAUAACUUUUUUUUCUUCCCCUGGAGCUUUAAGGCCUCUGGUGGCCUGGCUGGAUGUUAACCCUUACUGGCUAAGUGAUCCGAUCAAUCUUAUCCAUGAAUUGCUCAUGAAUCUUGUUUUGCAUUUUGCAGGGCACCAGCAAGUAAAAGGUGGAGAAAGUUGUUUGCAAUGAGAGCACCUCAAGAAUUUUGAUCUGGGCUUCUAGUUCUGGUUCAAGAUUGCCAGUCAACACUAUGAUAGCCAGUGAGGUAUUUAAGCAUGCCGCUACCAUUUUAGGGUGUUGAACUUCUGGUAAGAAUAAAACUGGAGUUUUUUUAAGCUUGUUGUGGGAUUUUGCAUGCGUGUUGAAGUUCUUCGAGCGCGGUUGUAGGAACCAAGCAGGCUUCAGAACUAAAGGAGCAAAUUUUUUGGUAAAAUCAAUCUUCUAUUAUUUCUUUUCUUGUCAGUGACAAAUAGAGUGAAAUUGAGAUUGAGUGUACUUUUUGUGUAUUUGGUGUUCUCUGCUAGAGAACAAGAAGAUAAAAGAGAUAUCGUUGUGAUAUUCAUAUGCAUUUUUUUUUUCCUUUCCAACUUGAGUUUGUGUAGCCGUGUGUGUGUGUGUGUGUUUUUUUUCUUUAAUUGGUUUGCAUUUGAUGGAUUGUGAUGUAUAUUCUAGAUGUAUGUCUCUGAGUUACUCAAAUAUGAGCAGAGGAAUGCACACCUUUUAUUUCACUUGCAAAUCCCAUGCUAUAAAAUCCCAAACAAACUGCAACCUUUGGACUUUUAAAAAUAGAACAUUUGCUUUUGACAUUUCUUAAUGAUAUCUGUCUUUCAAGUGAAAGCAUGCACAUACAAAAUAGUAUGUGGUUAAUAAAACAGAAGGGAGUUGUGAAUAGCUCAUUUAAAAGUUUUACAUUGUCGAAAGCUAGUAAAAACUUGAUCUGAUAGUUGUGAAUAGCAACCCAGUGUGAUUGUAUACAACAUGAAGCGUAUGAGUAAUGUAAUUAUUUGUGUUGUUGCAGAUGACUUCUUCAAUCAUUGAAGCUCUUUCUUGUAAUUGGGCGGUAAAGGAUCGGAAAGGGUAUACCCAACAACAACUUGACGAGGUCUGCAUUGAAGUAGCCGACUACUUACAGACUCUGCUGUAGGUUCUGACCAGUUUCUUGAUUUUGAGUUAGGCUAGCUUUUAACUAACUUUUUUGUAGCAAUUAUGAACAAACAAGAAUACUAAUUGCUAGGCUAGCCUUGUAGUAUAUAGGUGCAUGAAUUGGGGUUUUAUUUUGCCCAUUUUGUAAACUGUUAAGGAUGAUGAAUGUCGGAUAUAAUACCCAAAUUUGCAAUUUAUAAUCACAGUUCUAUUUUGUGGA